rnacentral:lncRNA from 1 species
GCACCCGAGCUGGAGCCUGGAGGCCGGGCCGGACCCUGGAAGAGGUCUGUGGCCCUCCGACUCCUGGGCCUGAGAGGAGCACGCUGGAGCCAGAACCCCUGGAUCUGCACGGUGGGCUGGUGCCCGACCUGCCCGGACGCUGGAGCCCUGGUGCCCUUGCAGCAAGUGUGUCCCCUGGGAUGCGAUUGUCUGCUCUCUGCCCAGCUGUCCCAGCGGACAUGAGUGGGGGCCAGGGGCAGCCUCAACAUGACCCAGCUCAAGGCGCAGUGUACACAGGCAGCCUUGGAGGAUGCACAUGAGCCAUGACCUCACCACUCCCAUGGUCUCUCCAGUAUUCACAGC